UACGAAGGGGGCUAGCGUUGCUCGGAAUCACUGGGCGUAAAGGGUGCGUAGGCGGGUCUUUAAGUCAGGGGUGAAAUCCUGGAGCUCAACUCCAGAACUGCCUUUGAUACUGAGGAUCUUGAGUUCGGGAGAGGUGAGUGGAACUGCGAGUGUAGAGGUGAAAUUCGUAGAUAUUCGCAAGAACAUCAGUUGCGAAGGCGGCUCUCUGGACCAGCACUGACACUGAGGCACGAAAGCAUGGGGAGCGAACAGG
rnacentral:rRNA from 1 species